rnacentral:rRNA from 1 species
GAUGAACGCUGGCGGCGUGCCUAAUACAUGCAAGUCGAGCGAACAGAUGAGGAGCUUGCUCCUCUGACGUUAGCGGCGGGCGGGUGAGUAACACGUGGAUAACCUACCUAAAAGACUGGGAUAACUUCGGGAAACCGGAGCUAAUACCGGAUAAUAUAUUGAACCGCAUGGUUCAAUAGUGAAAGACGGUUUUGCUGUCACUUAUAGAUGGAUCCGCGCCGCAUUAGCUAGUUGGUAAGGUAACGGCUUACCAAGGCAACGAUGCGUAGCCGACCUGAGAGGGUGAUCGGCCACACUGGAACUGAGACACGGUCCAGACUCCUACGGGAGGCAGCAGUAGGGAAUCUUCCGCAAUGGGCGAAAGCCUGACGGAGCAACGCCGCGUGAGUGAUGAAGGUCUUCGGAUCGUAAAACUCUGUUAUUAGGGAAGAACAAAUGUGUAAGUAACUAUGCACGUCUUGACGGUACCUAAUCAGAAAGCCACGGCUAACUACGUG